CCUCACGACGAAGCCCCGGCUAACUACCUGCCAGCAACCGCGGUAAUACAGUAGGGGGCGAGCGUUGUCCGGAAUUAUUGGGCGUAAAGCGCGCGCAUGCGGUUCCUGUAGAUCUGAUGUGAAAGCCCACGGCUCAUCCGUGCAGGGCCGUUGAAAACUGGUGGACUUGAGUGCAGGAGAGGAGAGCGGAAUUCCACGUGUAGCGGUGAAAUGCGUAGAGAUGUGGAGGAACACCGGUGGAGAAGGCGCCCCCCUGGACAAAGCAUGACGCUCAGGUGCCAAAGCGUGGGGAGCAAACAGGAUCAGAUACCAUGGUAGUCCACGCUGUAAACGAUGUCGACAAGGAGGUGGUUACCUGGAGGAGUGGCUUCCGGAGCUAACGCCCUAAGUCGACCGCGUCGGGACUACGCCCGCCAGGAGAAAACUCAAACGACUUGACGGGGGCCCGCACAACCGGUGGAGCAUGUGGUUUAACAGGAUGCAACGCGAAGAACCUUACUUACUCUCGACAUCCAGAGAACCUAGCAGAGAAGCUUUAGGCCCUUCGGGAACUAUGAGACAGGUGCUGCAGGGCUGUAGUCAGCUGAAGGUGGGAAAGGCGGGGUUAAGUCCCGCAACGAGCGCAACCGUUAUCCCUCGUGGCCCACACAUUAGGGCGGGAACUCAAAGGAGCCCGCCGGGGAUAAACCGGCGGAAGGCGGGGAUGACGUCAAGUCAUCAUGGCCCUUUCGAGUACGGGUACCCACGAGCUACAAUGGUGUAUACAAAGCGAAGCGACCUCGAGAGAGCAAGCGGCACUCAUAAAGUACGUCGUAGUCCCGAGAGGAGUCUGCACCUCGAAUCCAGGAAGUCGGAAUCGCUAGUAAUCCUAGAUCAGAAUGGU
rnacentral:rRNA from 1 species